AUGUCUUUGUACAAGAAUUUGCUGUUUGCGGAAUCACUGAAAAUGCCAUGUGUGGAGCCGAAAGAGAAGACAAAUAAUUCAGUGUGCUCCACCCAAAUUAACUUGGACAGCUGAUUCAGAUCUGAAGGAUAUCUUUACAAAAUGGUGUGACGUAUCUGUUUUGGAUGGCUUUAUCCACUCAGUUUCUUCUUUAGAUGCUCAAAGUGAAAUAAACUUUCAAGAAAAGGUUGCUGCAAUUUUUUACAUAUGGUGCCUUUGAUUGUGCAACCGGAGACAUCUAGCGUUAGAGUUCGUCUAUGGUUUUAGUUAGAGAAAAUCAAACUCAUCAGAAAUUUUAUGUUCUCUCUUUUGGCCCAAUCUAUAUCUUUGAUCCUUCCAACGAACUUUGUCAUAAAUAUGCUGACAGCUUUGUGCUCAACCUGCAUUUCUUGAGGUGUAAGUUCCUACUGGUAAAAUCUUCGAUAAGCUAGUCUUUCUAGAGCUACUUACAUACGAAAUAGAGUGGUGGGAUCUGCUUUCGAUCAUGCUCGCUAGUUCUCCUAAACUACAAAUCCUCUCAAGCUCACAGAUGUAUAACUGCGCGUGGACAAAAGAAAUCCGUACGAUCGGAAAUGGAAUCCACCAAAAUGUGUACCGGAAUGCUUGUUGUUUUUUUUUUUUGAGACAUUCGUGUGGAUAAGAUGCUAGUGAAAACGAGAAGAUGAGCAUGAAGUUGCCACAUACAUACAUCUUUAAGAACGCAAGACGCUUGAAGAAAGCAACUCUCUCCACAAAACCCAUCAAGAGGGGAAUGCUCGAAAAGUUUAAAAAGAGACGUGAGAUGCUUAACGAGUUGGCUAGCUAGAGUGCUAAUGUUUGGUGGACCUUUUGAGAGUUUUGAGGAAGAGAUUCAGAAGAUUAUUACUUUAUA